rnacentral:RNase_P_RNA from 1 species
GGCGACGGUUAUCCUAUCGCUCGGCCUUGGCUGAGAGGAAAGUCCGGGCAGCACGAGCCACCAUGCUUCCUAACGGGAAGGCACUUCGAAUAAUGCGUUAAUGUGUUAGAAGAGGUGACAGAAAGCGCCACAGAAAAGAUACCGCCUUUAGAAGUGGUUAGUGUUCAGUGUUUAGUGUGUAGUUAGAUGCCGCGAUUGUGAGUUUUCACUAAACACUAAACACUGAGCACUAAACACUGAAAAGGUAAGGGUGAAAACGCGAGGUAAGAGCUCACGACGGCGUCCGGUGACGGCGCUGAUGGCAAACCUCAUGGGCUGAAAGACCAUGUAUACCGGCAAGUCUUACGACUACAGGCUGGCUCGCUUGUUUUGCCGGGGGGUAGGUUGAUUGAGACCGUCGGCGACGACGGCCCUAGAUUGAUGAUAGGACACGACAGAACCCGGCUUACAGACCGCCGCUUUUU